GUUGGCUGUCGCGUUCUGUCUGCGGUUGGCCGUGCGUGGUGGAGAUGCGAUCCAGGACUCUUUGCUUCAGACAUUCAAGGUGGCUUCGCCCAAGAAGUCUGCUUGAGUUGCUUAUUCAGCCCUGAUGCCAGCCUUCACAUGGAGACACUCUGACAGGCAGGAGGGCAUCAGGCAAGAGCAUAUGGCUGGCACUUCUGCAAGAAAUCCUUUUCUCCUUCCCAGCUUUGGGGACCAAUUAAACUAGAGGAGCAGGAGAGAGACGACCUGUUUAAAAAAGCCUCCGUUUUAUUAUGAGGAAGCUGCUUGGGGAAUGCGGUCGGGACCGACAGCCAAAGGGGUUUGCCCACCUGUCCUGAGAAACUAAACUCUUCCCCAAAGCCGGUGGGCACCCGUUGCAAAGGAAGUACCUGCCCAGUCUCCCCCCCGUGUGGACAAGGGUGCAUCCUGGGCGUGACUGGGCUUUGUGGGCCCCCGUGUGCUCCGUCUCCCGUGGCUUUAUCCACGUGGCAGGUUGUUGUGCCACGUGAGACGUGGGUGAGCAGCAGAGAGGGGCCACGAGGGGCAAGGGCACCAUGUAAAUUACCUUCCUCCGACAGAAGAACCCCGGCCCCGGCCCCACCAGCACAGUGGGAGAAAGGGCUUCUUCCUUCCAGCUGGACAGAAAGCCUGCUUUGUUCUGAAACCUCAGAUCAAAAGAUAGCUCUUUCCUCGCUAGAUUUUCCAAGAAAGUCAAGAGCGCCUUAGGCCCCGGGUUGGGGGGGAAGGAGGGUCACCAUUGUGGGGCACUCUGACCAAAUGGCUGGGGGAUACUGGUGGCGUCUUUCUCUUUUUUUUUUAGUAGGGAUCUGUCACUGCGCUUUCUUCAAAUCUUUUCAAAGUCAUGUUUUGUUUGCACACAACUUUGAAGGUUACUUCCCGUUUGCAGUCAUUAGAAAGUACCCAUGGGGUACAACACGCCCUCCAUCCAGCCUCUCUUACCCCAAGGAGCUCAGACCCGCCCUCCUCUCUGUCCCCCUCUACUAGCUUGUUCUCUGGGUGAGUCUGCUGCUUUUGUUAUGUUCACGAGUUGGUGGCUGCUCUACUUCUGUGAGAAAUUGUGACGGAGGUAGGGUGCAGCCCUCAGAGGCAGGAAUAUUUGGGUGUCACACUGGUGGGGGUAGGAGGGGAUACCAGGGUGGCCCCAGCUGCCCCAGAGCAAGGGAAGGGCCGCUGUAACGGAAGAGUAAGAAAGAAGAAAGCCUGCUUAUUGGUCCAUCUUCUCCCGGCCUUUUUCUCCUGUCCCUUCUCCCUUUGCGGCGCCUUCCGAUUAAAUGAGUGGAUGUGAGUCCUUGACCAAACACAAACCACGCUUGAGGGGAGCAGUUACCAGCUAGUCAUCGCCAAGCCCAUGACAAACAUUCUCUCCUUGGCCGCACUUAGGCAGGUGCCUCUGAACCCUCCGCUCAACUAAGCUUUGACCUUUGACCUUCCCGUCGGCCUUGGCAUCACCCCACUUUGGGGAAGAUCCUACCAGGUCCCUCAGUUUCUGCUCAGAUGCCUCCUCCCUCGCCCUCGGCAUCUGAUCAUCCCGGCCUCAGGGUUUCGGUCCUCGGCUUGUCCCAACUGCAUCUUUCUCAUUAGAGAGCUCUCCUCUCCUCACCAGGUGCCAGGGCUUCCAGGGAGCAGGUCACACAGUUCAGAGAAACUGCACCGCAGGCAAGGAUGCUGAGGGUCAGAUCUGUCAAGCAGCCUGGUUCACCUUCCAGUGUCUGGCAAGACCUGUGCCCGUCUCUGAAUUCGCAGCAUUUUGCAUGGGUUCCCCAUGUGUGGGAGUGUAUAGAUGCCAUUUAAAAAUUUUUAAUUUUAUGGCCACACCCAUGCAUAUGGAAGUUCCUGGGCCAGGGAUUGA